UACGAGCAUAACACAUUGAAACACUUGUUCGCGUAUGAACACAGAAGCUAAGCAACGACGGGCCUAGCCAGUACCUCGAUGGAUAAGCGCUUGGGAAUUCUUGUUACCGUAAG